UACGGAGGGGGCUAGCGUUGUUCGGAAUUACUGGGCGUAAAGCGCGCGUAGGCGGCUUUGUAAGUUAGAGGUGAAAGCCCGGAGCUCAACUCCGGAAUUGCCUUUGAUACUGGCGAUCUUGAGUCCGGGAGAGGUGAGUGGAACUGCGAGUGUAGAGGUGAAAUUCGUAGAUAUUCGCAAGAACACCAGUGGCGAAGGCGGCUCACUGGCCCGAUACUGACGCUGAGGCACGAAAGCGUGGGGAGCAAACAGG
rnacentral:rRNA from 1 species